UACGGGGGGGGCAAGCGUUGUUCGGAAUUACUGGGCGUAAAGGGCUCGUAGGCGGCCAACUAAGUCAGACGUGAAAUCCCUCGGCUUAACCGGGGAACUGCGUCUGAUACUGGUUGGCUUGAGUGUGGGAGAGGGAUGCGGAAUUCCAGGUGUAGCGGUGAAAUGCGUAGAUAUCUGGAGGAACACCGGUGGCGAAGGCGGCAUCCUGGACCACAACUGACGCUGAGGAGCGAAAGCCAGGGGAGCAAACGGG
rnacentral:rRNA from 1 species